rnacentral:piRNA from 1 species
UACAUGACUACUUCUCCUGUUGGUGCUGU